UCACAUCUCACCACUUCCUGAUGAAGCUGAAGUUACACUAAGAGACUGAGAUCAAGUACCUCACAGAGUGAAAUAUACCUUACCUAUGGCAACAGAUCCACAGAGAAUGGCUAGUGGAACAAUGCUCUUUGUUCCCCCUAAUGGUGCCAACAUAGUUCAAGCAGGCCAGAUCAUCCCUGGCACUGUUAUCCAACCAGAGGGGCUCAUACAAUAUGCAGGCCAGCCACUCCGCCCUCCUUACCAGAACCUUCAGACGGGGGUACUGGAGAAAAUGCUCAGAGUAGAGACUAAAACUCUGGGGGCCAUUCAGAUCAUGAUUGGACUGACACACAUUGGCUUUGGGGCUGUGGCAUUUAUUCUUUCUACUAGUGGUCAUCAUUAUCAUCAUCACUACAUUUCUAUGGCUGCAAUAGGAGGUUAUCCAUUCUGGGGUGGACUAUCUUUCAUUAUUUCUGGAUCCCUUUCAGUGGCAAUUGAGAAACAUCUGACCAAAUCUUUGGUGAAAUGCAGUGUGGGAAUGAACAUCACAAGUGCUAUAAUGGCAUUAACUGGCAUGAUUCUAUAUAUCGUGGAACUGUUAAUAAAUAUGCUUGAUUUGGAUGAUGUGGGGACAGAUUCUGUAGGUAAUGGUAUUGGUGUUCUACUCCUCUUCUUCAGUUUGCUGGAGUUUUGCAUCACUGUUUCAACAACACAUUUUGGGUGCCAAGUUACCUGCUGCAACAAUGACCCGGCUGCCAUGGUUUUUGUGCCCUACACUGUCAGUGGAGGUGUGAUUUUUGAUGAAGCCAAUCCUUCUCCUCCAGCCUACGAGGCUGUUUCUCCAAAAUGAGAUGCUCACUCAAGACCUGGAGAGAGAAGUUAUGUCAGCAGCACUCUUAAUGCAUCUACAACCUCAGAAACCAAAUCUUCUUAAUCCCCCUCCUUUUUAGGAAGUACAUUUAUGAUUUAAGGACCAGGCAAUAUAUUUAGGCAGCAACUUUGAGUAGAUCAAAAAUGUUGGGAAUGGGGGCUGAAAAUGAGGAGGGCUAUAGGAUGGGGCUUGUGCUGCUUCGGUUCUAAUGAUGUUGCUGAAUGACAGAAGAUGUUUGGCAAUACAGUCUGGUUCUUCCCAAUUAUUUACAAUAGAAACUGGGACAAUCUGAUCAUCAUUAAUCAAUCAGUUUUUUGCAUAUAACAAUAGUGCUUUCAAUUAAUUGGUUGAAGUUUUUUUAGAAUGUUAUGGAUUUUAAUGCAAAUACCAUCUUAAAAGCAGAAUUUCUCCUUCUUUCUCAUUUAAUAGGGAAUAUCUCUUCUAAGACUGCUUACUGGGAUAAUGUGUUUACAUGGCAAAUUGGAAGAGCACCAGGAGAAGGAGGAGGUAGCCCAUGAGAAAGACCCCUGUAUUGACCCCACCAAAGAACCACCAGAGGCGUCUGCAGAGGACAUCCAUGCAGACUAGCCAGGUUGUAUGAAACCAAAGGUCACCUCUGCCUAAAGAGAAGCUGAAUUCCGAAGUGGCAUCCCCUUAUUGUACCUGCAAACUGUACUAGCAUAAUGGAGGGAAGGCAUACAAGCACGCUCCAGCCUGUAGCCCUGUGUGGCACCAUUGCCCUAUCCUGUUUAUGAGGACAGGGUGGGCAUAAUACUUCAAAGAACCAACAUCCAAUGAUGAUCUGGAAUAGAGAUGGGCACGAACCGCAUUACGAACUUCAAAAACCCACGAAAAUGGCAAUUGCACGAUCGCGAUCUGGCGGUUCGUUAUCGGCCACAGCCAACGAACCAGCAGUCGGUAAAAGCCUGGUUCGGUGCGUUUGGCCAUGGUUCGGGAAGCCAGACACUCAGGCGCCAGCAAUCAAUUCCCCUGGCAACGGAGCGGGGGGAAUGCCUGAACUCUGUCUGCACUCCUCUGUCGCCCUGGAAACCC